GGACGAACGCUGGCGGCGUGCUUAACACAUGCAAGUCGAACGGAAAGGCCCUGCUUUUGUGGGGUGCUCGAGUGGCGAACGGGUGAGUAACACGUGAGUAACCUGCCCUUGACUUUGGGAUAACUUCAGGAAACUGGGGCUAAUACCGGAUAGGAGCUCCUGCUGCAUGGUGGGGGUUGGAAAGUUUCGGCGGUUGGGGAUGGACUCGCGGCUUAUCAGCUUGUUGGUGGGGUAGUGGCUUACCAAGGCUUUGACGGGUAGCCGGCCUGAGAGGGUGACCGGCCACAUUGGGACUGAGAUACGGCCCAGACUCCUACGGGAGGCAGCAGUGGGGAAUAUUGCACAAUGGGCGGAAGCCUGAUGCAGCAACGCCGCAUGCGGGAUGACGGCCUUCGGGUUGUAAACCGCUUUCGCCUGUGACGAAGCGUGAGUGACGGUAAUGGGUAAAGAAGCACCGGCUAACUACGUG
rnacentral:rRNA from 1 species